GCGAAAACUUUACAAUGCUGGCAACAGCGAUAAGGGAACCUCGAGUGCCAGGUUACAAAUCUGGCUGUCGAGAUGCCUAAAAAGCAUUUCAUAGCAAGGGCCGGGCAAGACCGGUGCCAGCCGCCGCGGUAACACCGGCGGCUCGAGUGGUAACCGUUAUUAUUGGGUCUAACGGGUCUGUAGCCGGCCGGAUAAGUCUCUUGAGAAAUCUGGCAGCUUAACUGUCAGGCUUUCAGGAGAUACUGUCUGGCUCGAGGCCGGGAGAGGUGAGAGGUACUUCUGGGGUAGGGGUGAAAUCUUGUAAUCCUUGAAGGACCACCAGUGGCGAAGGCGUCUCACCAGAACGGACCUGACGGCAAGGGACGAAAGCUAGGGGCACGAACC
rnacentral:rRNA from 1 species